AAGAUGUUUCCCAAACAUUUUUGAAUUCACAGGGUCUACUUUAAUUUGUAUUAAAUGACUUGUUAUAUAUAUAUACGUAUAAGAAUUACUUCCAUGUUAGUUUAACUUUUGCUACCCCUCAGUAGUUUGGGUACAUUAAAGUAUUUGGAACAAAUCAAUGUUAGAUACAAGUCAAAAAUGUGAGACACUACAUAACUAACUGCACUGAGAAAAAGUGGUGGAGACCAAACUCAAGACUUAUUGUAUUUAUUGUAUGAAUAACUACAUAUAACAACAGUCAUAAGGACAUGAAAAAGGUCAUGAUAACAAAAGGCCAUACGGACCAUCAAGAUUUUCCCUAUUCCUACCAGGAUCAAAAUGAAAUGUAACUUUCGUGUCUAUAUAUUUAUUCAACAAGUAUUUCCAAGAGUUUAAUAGCACACUACAUCAUCAAAACCCACAUAUAACUGUUUGGAAAAUUUAGAUAGUAUUCAUUGUACUACAGAGGCUAUGAAGAAACUUCAGAAUCAACCAAUAUAAACUGUAAUGCCUGUGGAAAACAGUAUUCAUCAAAAACAAUUAUUGUGAUCAUAUAGGCACCACCAGCACAACAGUCAUUGCCACUUUUUCAUGUUUUUAUUUUGGGAAAGUCUUCACUAGGAGAAAAGCAUUACAUUAUCAUAUAAACAUUGAUAACUAGGUGAACACAGGGUUGAGUAGGUUAUGUUAAAAUUAAUAUGGAUAAUUAAAUUAGCAAGUCAUUUGACAACCACAGCUGAUAUAAAGUCAGCGUGAGGUGGAAUUUUGAGAACUACAUCUUGACAUUUUUUAGGUAGUGUGAUGCCACCCAAAUUUUAUUACAGUUGGGAAAGGAAUGAAGAGCCCUUUCUGAUGCAAAAUAUUCAUAUUCAAAUAUCAUAAAGAUGUGUUUAGAUUGGGGAUUGAGAAUUUCUAAUAUGGGAUAUCUCUUGUACUUUAUGGCAUUAAAAAACAAAGGAAUAUUGAACAACUUGGGACAAUUCAGAAUGAGAUUUGUCUUAACCUAGCCAUGGUAAGCAAAAUGUGGUAUCUUUUAACAGGAAUCCACAAACAUAAAAGUGUUUAUUUGACUCAGAAAACAGUGAACAAUAUAAUCAAGAAAGAUCUUCAUCUGAGAAAAAAACACAAGUUGCUUUGAAGAGACAUCUGUUUAAUUACCACAUAGCUCGAUUGGUUGGAAAAUGGAUAUUCAUGCUAUUUCAUAGGAGCACAUACCAGUCAAGCCACCAGACACAGAGGUUAUGGAUUUCUGUGUCACUGGAAACUAUCAUCUUCAUACACAAGAUGGUCUAUGAAACCUAUGCAAUUAGGAGAGUUGUGCUUUGGACAUGACCCCCUUUUGCAAAGAAACUGCACUGCAGGGCUAUUGUCAAGAUGCAUGAUCAUCAGAUAGAUCAUGACCAGAUGUGAUGAAACAUUAAAAUUGUUUUAAUAUAACAUACUCAACCUCUGUACAUGUAUAGCUAAUAAAUCCAAUCUAUUGAUCACUUCGUGUAGAAAUGCUCACCAAAAAAACAACACACUGAUAUUGUAUCAGCAAUUCACAGUAUUUAAAUAAAGUGUAUUAUUACCAUUAAUUGGUGUAGCCAGGGGAAUAUUUUUUUGAUAUCACAAUAUCUUUUUAAAGAAAUUACUUUUGUUGCAGUAAUCAUAGAAAUUAAAUUCUGUCAGUAUCAAUUAAACGUUUGUUAAACAUGUAUCACUUGUCCUAUAGCACCACAACUUGUACAUAUCUUGUUGGUACUUUAGCUUUUAAUAUACAUGAAAUGGUAUUAUUGAAAUGUGUUAUGAGAGGUAUUUUUAAUAUGUACACAUAAAAUGUACAUUAUUUUCAAUUGCAGUUGUUGUAGUAUUGUGUUGCAAUCUUUUUAAAACGUUUUUUUUAUUAUGCUUUCUAGAUGUGGCUGUACUUAAAAAUGAACAACUUUAGCCAAAUUUACUCAUAAAUAAAUAUAUAACCAGUUAAUAGUUCAACUGUGAAUGCCCCCAGUGGCACAGUGGUAUGUCUGCGGACUUAUACCACUAGAAACUGGGUUUCAAUACCCAUGGUGAGCA